GAAGGCUUUCCCAUACUGCUUACAUUCAUUAUCUGUAUUCAAAGAAUCUUGUCAGGUCUGAACGCUUUCCCAUACUGCUUACAUUCAUAGGGUUUUUCUCCAGUGUGAGUCCUUCCAUGCAUUUGAAGGUGCGAGGCUGAUCUGAAGGCUUUCCCACAUUGCUUAUAUUCAUAGGGCUUCUCUCCAGUGUGAGUCCUUUCAUGAUAUUGAAGGGAACUAGAAGAAAUGAAGGCUUUCCCACUUGGCAUACACUCAUAGGGUUUCUCUCCCAUGUGAGUCCUUUCAUGAUAUUGAAAAGAAGUGGAAGAAAUAAAGGCUUUUGCACAUUGCUUACAUUGAUAGGGUUUCUCCCUAGUGUGUUCUUUCAUGAUAUUGAAAAGAACUGGAAGAAGUGAAAGCUUUGCCACAUUGCUUGCAUUCAUAGUGUUUCCUUCCAGUGUGAGUCUUUUCAUGUCUAUGAAAGGAAGUAGGCAAGCUGAAUGCUUUUCUGCAUUCUUUACAUUCAUAGGGUUUCUCUCCAUUGUGUGUUCUUGCAUGUAUUCAAAGGAUCUUGGCAGAUAUGAAUGCUUUCCCACAAUGCUUACAUUCACAGAGCUUCUCUCCUCUGUGCAUCCUUUCAUGUAUUUGCAAAGAAGAGAAAUUAUGGAAUGCUUUUCUACAUUUCUUACAUUCACAGGGUUUCUCUCCAGUGUGUGUCCUUUUAUGAAAUCGAAGAUUUUUGACAGAUCUGAAGGCUUUCCCAAAUUGCUUACACUCAUAGGGGUUCUCUCCAGUGUGAGUCCUUUCAUGAUAUCGAAAGGAAGUGAAGGAAACAAAGGCUUUCCCACAUUGCUUACACUCAUAGGGUUUCUCUCCAGUGUAAGAUUUUUCAUGUAUUUGAAAUGACUUGGCAGAAUAAAAGCCCCUCCCACAUAUCUUACAUUUAUAAGGUCUCUCUACAGAGUGCAUUAUGUGUGUUUGUGUCCUUUCAUGAAUUCGAAGGUUCUGGGCAGAUCCGAAGGGUUUCCCACAUUCCUUACAUGCAUAGGGCUUCUCUCCAUUGUGUGUCCUACCACGUAUUCAAAGGUGUGGGGCAGAUCUGAAGGCUUUCCGUCAUUGCUCACACUCAUAGGGUUUCUCUUCAGGGUGAGUCCUACCAUGCAUUCAAAGGAUUGACACAGCUCUGAAGGCUUUCCCACAUUGCUCGCAUUUAUAGGGCUUCUCUCCAGUGUGAGUCCUUUCAUGAUAUCAAAAGGAACUGGAACUACUGAAGGAACUACUGAACGUUGCUUGCAUUCAUAGAGUUUCUCUCCAGUGUGAGUUUUUUCAUGUCUUUGAAAUGAUUUGGGACAAUAAAAGCCUUUCCCACAUAUCUUACAUUUAUAACGUCUUUCUCCAGAGUGUAUUCUUAUGUGUGUUUGUGUCCUUUCAUGACUUUGAAGGUUAUUCACAUAUCUGAAGGCUUUCCCACAUUCCUUACAUUCAUACGGUUUCUCUCCAGUGUGAGUCCUACCAUGCACUCGAAGGUGUGAGGCAGAUCUGAAGGCUUUCCCACAUUGCUUACACUCAUAGGGUUUCUCUCCAGUGUGAGUCCUUUCAUGAUAUCGAAGGGAACUGGAAUGAGGGAAGGCUUUACCACACUGCUUACAUUUAUAGGGUUUCUCUCCACUGUGAAUUUUUUCAUGUCUUUGAAAUGAAUUCACAGAACAAAAGUCUUUUCCACAUAUCUUACAUUCAUAAGGUCUUUCUCCAGAGUGCAAUCUUACGUGUGUUUGAAAACUUGUAAGAGAGGAUAAUGCUUUCCCACACUGCUUACAUUCAUAGAGAUUUUUCCUAGAGUGGGUCCUUUCAUGUAUACGAACAUAACGGGGACACGUGAAUGCUUUUCCACAUUCCUUACAUUGAUAAGCCUUUUCUCCCAUGUGAAUCCUUUCAUGUCUACGAUAGGAUCUGGGACUAUGAAAUGCUUUCCCACACUCCUGAUAUUCAUAAG
rnacentral:lncRNA from 1 species